AUUGAACGCUGGCGGCAGGCCUAACACAUGCAAGUCGAACGAGUGGCGGACGGGUGAGUAAUGCCUGGGAAACUGGCUGAUGGAGGGGGAUAACUACGGGAAACUGUAGCUAAUACCGCAUACCAUCGGAUGUGCCCAGAUGGGAUUAGGUAGUUGGUGGGGUAACGGCUCACCAAGGUGACGAUCCCUAGCUGGUCUGAGAGGAUGACCAGCCACACUGGAACUGAGACACGGUCCGGACUCCGACGGGAGGCAGCAGUGGGGAAUAUUGCACAAUGGGGGCAAGCCUGAUGCAGCCAUGCCGCGUGUAUGAAGAAGGCCUUCGGGUUGUAAAGUACUUUCAGUAGGGAGGCGUUAAACACAGAAGAAGCACCGGCUAACUCCGUGCCAGCAGCCGCGGUAAUAC
rnacentral:rRNA from 1 species